ANCAGCCGCGGUAAUUCCAGCUCCAAUAGCGUAUAUUAAAGUUGUUGCCGUUAAAAAGCUCGUAGUUGAACCUUGGGCCUGGCUGACCUGUCCUCCUAAUCGAGCGCACGGGUUCGGUCGGGCCUUUCCUUCUGGGGAUCCCGAUGCCCUUCACUGGGCGUCGUGGGGAACCAGGACUUUUACCUUGAAAAAAUUAGAGUGUUCAAAGCAGGCCUUUGCUCGAAUACAUUAGCAUGGAAUAAUAGAAUAGGACAGAGGUUCUAUUUUGUUGGUUUCUAGGACCGCUGUAAUGAUUAAUAGGGAUAGUCGGGGGCGUCCGUAUUCAAUUGUCAGAGGUGAAAUUCUUGGAUUUAUUGAAGACGAACUACUGCGAAAGCAUUCGCCAAGGGUGUUUUCAUUAAUCAGUGAACGAAAGUUAGGGGAUCGAAGACGAUCAGAUACCGUCGUAGUCUUAACCAUAAACUAUGCCGACUAGGGAUCGGACGGUGGUUUUUUUAUGCCCCG
rnacentral:rRNA from 1 species